GGGGCUGUAGUUCAGUGGUAGAGCACUUGUCUGGCAUAUAUGAGGUACUGAGUUCAAUUCUUAGCACCA
rnacentral:tRNA from 1 species